GGGUGCAUGGUCUAGUGGUAUGAUUUUCGCUUCGCAUGUGAACGGUCCCCGGUUCGAUCCCGGGUGCAUCCA